rnacentral:rRNA from 1 species
AUUGAACGCUGGCGGCAGGCCUAACACAUGCAAGUCGAACGAAGCGGCGGAUGGGUGAGUAACGCGUGGGUAACCUGCCCUUAAGUCUGGGAUACCAUUUGGAAACAGAUGCUAAUACCGGAUACUAAAGGAUGGACCUGCGAUGCAUUAGCUAGUUGGUAAGGUAACGGCUUACCAAGGCGAUGAUGCAUAGCCGAGGUGAGAGACUGUGCGGCCAAAUUGGGAGUGAGACACGGCCCAAACUCCUACGGGAGGCAGCAGGAGGGAAUCUUCCACAAUGGACGAAAGUCGGAUGGAGAAACGCCGCGUGAGUGAAGAAGGUUUUCGGAUCGUAAAGCUCUGUUGUUGGUGAAGCGGUAAUCAACCAGAAAGUCACGGCAAACUACGUGCCAGCGGCCGCGGUAAUA